rnacentral:rRNA from 1 species
UACGGAGGGUGCAAGCGUUAACCGGAAUUAUUGGGCGUAAAGCGUCCGUAGGCGGUCUGUCAAGUCGGAUGUGAAAUCCCCGGGCUCAACCCGGGAACUGCAUUCGAAACUGGCAGACUAGAGUCUUGUAGAGGGGGGUAGAAUUCCAGGUGUAGCGGUGAAAUGCGUAGAGAUCUGGAGGAAUACCGGUGGCGAAGGCGCCCCCCUGGACGAAGACUGACGCUCAGGUGCGAAAGCGUGGGGAGCAAACGGG